GUUCCCUCUUAGGAGAUGAUAUUAGAAAUCCUUCUGUCUAGCAAUUGUAUCAACUUGCAAGCCUCCUGCACAGUCAGCUAGGCCUAGACAUGCAUGCUUAGCCUGUUUUGCUUUAAAUAUUAAAAUUAGAUUUUUGUUUUCCACCCAGAGAUGACUAGAACUCACAUUGUACAUUACGCUAAUGUUUUUUCAAGCUGUCAAAUUCUGG